rnacentral:rRNA from 1 species
UACGUAGGGUGCGAGCGUUGUCCGGAAUUACUGGGCGUAAAGAGCUCGUAGGUGGUUUGUCGCGUUGUCCGUGAAAACUCACAACUCAAUUGUGGGCGUGCGGGCGAUACGGGCAGACUGGAGUACUGCAGGGGAGACUGGAAUUCCUGGUGUAGCGGUGGAAUGCGCAGAUAUCAGGAGGAACACCGGUGGCGAAGGCGCCACUCUGGGCCGAAACUGACGCUGAGGAGCGAAAGCGUGGGUAGCAAACAGG